rnacentral:rRNA from 1 species
UACGUAGGUGGCAAGCGUUAUCCGGAUUUACUGGGUGUAAAGGGCGAGUAGGCGGGAUUGCAAGUCAGAUGUGAAAACUAUGGGCUCAACCGAUAGAGUGCAUUUGAAACUGCAGUUCUUGAGUGAUGGAGAGGCAGGCGGAAUUCCCGGUGUAGCGGUGGAAUGCGUAGAUAUCGGGAGGAACACCAGUGGCGAAGGCGGCCUGCUGGACAUUAACUGACGCUGAGGCGCGAAAGCGUGGGGAGCAAACAGG